rnacentral:tRNA from 2 species
GGGGGUGGAUGGGUGCUGGUGUGCCCCGCGGUCUUCAAAACCGUCUGCGGGAGGCUCAAAACCUGCCGGAUGAGUUCGAUCCUCAUACACCCUCGCCA